UUUUCCUUUUUCUCAAUGGGUGCUUGAGACUCCGCGAGAUUCUUGGAGCGAAUCUGGAACUGGCCUCCCUCUGCCGACAAGGGUUGCCAGCGUCUUAACCAAACACUGCUCUUCUGCCUUUUGUAUAGAGGUGUAUACUCGGAAACUACAACUAAUCCAGAA